AACGAACGCUGGCGGCAGGCUUAACACAUGCAAGUCGAACGGGUGUAGCAAUACAUCAGUGGCAGACGGGUGAGUAACACGUGGGAACCUUCCUCGUUGUACGGGACAACUCAGGGAAACUUGAGCUAAUACCGUAUACGUCCGAGAGGAGAAAGAUUUAUCGCAAUGAGACGGGCCCGCGUCGGAUUAGCUAGUUGGUAGGGUAACGGCCUACCAAGGCGACGAUCCGUAGCUGAUCUGAGAGGAUGAUCAGCCACACUGGGACUGAGACACGGCCCAGACUCCUACGGGAGGCAGCAGUGGGGAAUCUUGGACAAUGGGCGCAAGCCUGAUCCAGCCAUGCCGCGUGAGUGAAGAAGGCCUUAGGGUUGUAAAGCUCUUUUGCCAGGGACGAUAAUGACGGUACCUGGAGAAUAAGCCCCGGCAAACUUCGUGCCAGCCGCCGCGGUAACAC
rnacentral:rRNA from 1 species